UACGAAGGGGGCUAGCGGUGCUCGGAAUCACUGGGCGUAAAGCGCACGUAGGCGGAUUUCUAAGUCAGGGGUGAAAUCCUGGAGCUCAACUCCAGAACUGCCUUUGAUACUGGAAAUCUCGAGUUCGGGAGAGGUGAGUGGAACUGCGAGUGUAGAGGUGAAAUUCGUAGAUAUUCGCAAGAACACCAGUGGCGAAGGCGGCUCACUGGCCCGAUACUGACGCUGAGGUGCGAAAGCGUGGGGAGCAAACAGG
rnacentral:rRNA from 1 species